CUUCGCCCUGUGCGGCAGGAAAACUUUAUUUCAUCACUCUCUCCUCUGACAUGUCAAAACACAGAAGCUUCUGCACCCUUAGGGCCUCUGUUCUCUGGUGGAAAAAAUAAGAGGCUGGGUAGCUGAGAGGGCAUGUUGGCAUUCAGUGAUGGGCAGGACUUUAUCAUUGGUGUCAAAUUUCUGGGGAACUCUCAUAGACAGAAAAGAACACAAAUGAGUGGAGAGACCCAGCCUGUCAAUGUAAGAGCCAUGAAAAUGAUGAUAGCAGAAAAUGGAUCCCAUUUAAGUAAUUCAUAAGAACAAGCCUAUAAUUAUAAAAAUAUUCAUGGCAGAAUUAUUUAUAGUUGCUAACAAAU
rnacentral:lncRNA from 1 species